GAGUGAACGCUGGCGGCGUGCUUAACACAUGCAAGUCGAACGAGAACGGACUUAAGCUUGUCUUAAGUUGUCAGCUAAGUGGCGGCACGGGUGAGUAAUGUAUAGUUAACCUGCCCUCUAGAGAGGAAUAACAGUUGGAACGAACUGCUAAUGCCUUAUAUGCCUUUAAGACAGAAGUCUGCAAGGGAAAUGCUUUAGUGUUAGA
rnacentral:rRNA from 1 species